rnacentral:rRNA from 1 species
GACGAACGCUGGCGGCGUGCUUAACACAUGCAAGUCGAACGGAAAGGCCCUGCUUUUGUGGGGUGCUCGAGUGGCGAACGGGUGAGUAACACGUGAGUAACCUGCCCUUGACUUUGGGAUAACUUCAGGAAACUGGGGCUAAUACCGGAUAGGAGCUCCUGCUGCAUGGUGGGGGUUGGAAAGUUUCGGCGGUUGGGGAUGGACUCGCGGCUUAUCAGCUUGCUGGUGGGGUAGUGGCUUACCAAGGCUUUGACGGGUAGCCGGCCUGAGAGGGUGACCGGCCACAUUGGGACUGAGAUACGGCCCAGACUCCUACGGGAGGCAGCAGUGGGGAAUAUUGCACAAUGGGCGGAAGCCUGAUGCAGCAACGCCGCGUGCGGGAUGACGGCCUUCGGGUUGUAAACCGCUUUCGCCUGUGACGAAGCGUGAGUGACGGUAAUGGGUAAAGAAGCACCGGCUAACUACGUGCCAGCAGCCGCGGUGAUACGUAGGGUGCGAGCGUUGUCCGGAUUUAUUGGGCGUAAAGGGCUCGUAGGUGGUUGAUCGCGUCGGAAGUGUAAUCUUGGGGCUUAACCCUGAGCGUGCUUUCGAUACGGGUUGACUUGAGGAAGGUAGGGGAGAAUGGAAUUCCUGGUGGAGCGGUGGAAUGCGCAGAUAUCAGGAGGAACACCAGUGGCGAAGGCGGUUCUCUGGGCCUUUCCUGACGCUGAGGAGCGAAAGCGUGGGGAGCGAACAGGCUUAGAUACCCUGGUAGUCCACGCUGUAAACGGUGGGUACUAGGUGUGGGGUCCAUUCCACGGGUUCCGUGCCGUAGCUAACGCUUUAAGUACCCCGCCUGGGGAGUACGGCCGCAAGGCUAAAACUCAAAGGAAUUGACGGGGCCCCGCACAAGCGGCGGAGCAUGCGGAUUAAUUCGAUGCAACGCGUAGAACCUUACCUGGGUUUGACAUGGAUCGGGAGCGCUCAGAGAUGGGUGUGCCUCUUUUGGGGUCGGUUCACAGGUGGUGCAUGGCCGUCGUCAGCUCGUGUCGUGAGAUGUUGGGUUAAGUCCCGCAACGAGCGCAACCCUUGUUCACUGUUGCCAGCACGUUAUGGUGGGGACUCAGUGGAGACCGCCGGGGUCAACUCGGAGGAAGGUGGGGAUGACGUCAAGUCAUCAUGCCCCUUAUGUCCAGGGCUUCACGCAUGCUACAAUGGCUGGUACAGAGAGUGGCGAGCCUGUGAGGGUGAGCGAAUCUCGGAAAGCCGGUCUCAGUUCGGAUUGGGGUCUGCAACUCGACCUCAUGAAGUCGGAGUCGCUAGUAAUCGCAGAUCAGCAACGCUGCGGUGAAUACGUUCCCGGGGCU